rnacentral:rRNA from 1 species
UACGGAGGAUGCGAGCGUUAUCCGGAUUUAUUGGGUUUAAAGGGUGCGUAGGCCGACUUUUAAGUCAGCGGUGAAAUUUUCCGGCUCAACCGGGACAUUGCCGUUGAAACUGAUAGUCUUGAGUGUAAAUGAGGUAGGCGGAAUGUGUGGUGUAGCGGUGAAAUGCUUAGAUAUCACACAGAACUCCAAUUGCGAAGGCAGCUUACUGGCAUACAACUGACGCUGAGGCACGAAAGUGUGGGUAUCAAACAGGAUUAGAUACCCUGGUAGUCCACACAGUAAACGAUGAUAACUAGCCGUUGGCGAUACACAGUCAGUGGCAGAGCGAAAGCAUUAAGUUAUCCACCUGGGGAGUACGCCGGCAACGGUGAA